rnacentral:rRNA from 1 species
AGAUUGAACGCUGGCGGCAUGCCUUACACAUGCAAGUCGAACGGCAGCACGGGGGCAACCCUGGUGGCGAGUGGCGAACGGGUGAGUAAAGCAUCGGAACGUGCCCUGGAGUGGGGGAUAACGUAGCGAAAGUUACGCUAAUACCGCAUAUUCUGUGAGCAGCAAAGCAGGGAUCUUAGGACCUGCGCUUUGGGAGCGGCCGAUGUCGGAUUAGCUAGUUGGUGAGGUAAAGGCUCACCAAGGCGACGAUCCGUAGCGGGUCUGAGAGGAUGAUCCGCCACACGUGGGACUGAGACACGGCCAGACUCCGUACGGGAGGCCAGCAGGUGGGUAAUUUGGACAAGUGGGCGCAAGCCUGAUCCAGCAUCGCCGCGUGAGUGAAGAAGCCGUUCGGUU